CAUACACCCCCACCUCCUGCAAUAAAAUAGUAGCAUCGGCUCCCUCUGAGUUCUUGGCUGUCUGGGGAUGUGCACACAGGCAGGGUUUCCGCAGUUCCUUUAUGAAGCCUCCUUGUCCUGCUGGUGUGAAGAUGAGAGGAGUACCUGGGAGCUGACGCGGCCACAGCAAGGCCAUCAGGCAAGCUGCUGCUAUAGGAGUCCUGAGUCUCAGAGCAGGGAGAGCAGCCAGGGGCUGGGAAACAAGGCAUUGAGCCACAGCAGCCCCUGGUGAGGGGGUCAGGGAGAGGAGGGGCCCAAGCUGCUGCCCCCAGAAGCUGGGCUGGUGAUUUGGUCUGAGCUGCUGGUCAGACCAGGAGGAGGGAGCUGGCUGUGUCCAUAGACAGGGGCCAGGCCUCGGUGGAGCUCGCCAGGUCAUAGAUUCCAUCUGUGCUUGCAGAGUUGAGCAGACCCCAGGGACUGAGCUGCUCUCAUCAAAUCCCCUAGACACUAAAUAGUGAUCAAUGCGUGCUUCUUUCCAAGAGACUUAGGCCCCUACGUGGAAACAAAGUCCAAAAAGCCUGUCUGUGUAACUGAGCAGGAGAAACGCCAGCCAGACCAGAGACCAGCAAGAUCACAGAGAAAGUGGCACCUGCUGUCAUCCAUCCUGGGAGGCUGUGUCCUCCCAGAGUUUUACAGGCUCAUAGCCACCAGCCCUUUCUCUGGACUUGGAUUUAAAACAAGUUGUUAGUCCAGCUUCAUGGUAGGGAUGAAGUUAAAGCACAAAUGAGACCGACAAUGCAGUGGACUCUUCUUUUUCCAAGGAGGAUUAAGAGAGAACAUUCCCUUCAUGUCAGCAUUAUCCUAUAGAAUAGUGGAUCUUUGUGCCACAAGCAGGAGGCUACAGUCCUAAGACACAGCCCACCCUGCACAGUCCUUCCCUUUGCCAUUUUAGGACAGGGGUGCAGCCCUUACAGCCAGUGCUGCUGGGGCAGGCCUCCCAGGUACCUUCCAACCUCGGAGCUGCACUGACCCCCUCUUUUGGCUGCUGCCAUGAACACUGAAGGUGAAAUGAUGAAGGAAAAUCCACCCCAGUAGCGCCAAGGCCAGCACCCCACAUGCUGUCCCUGCAAAGUCAGAGCAGGGGACACGGCAGGGAGAGUGGGGAGCGUCUGCUUCCUUUUCCUCUCCACCCUGACUUGCUUUAACAGGGUCUUUGGGGUGAGGGAAGUGUAGCACCCCCUAGGAUGCCAUGAGCUGAGGAGAUUUGAGUCUGGGCCUCACCCUGCUGGGGGUGGGUGGUCUUAGUCACUCAGUUUUCUGUGGGGGGUUGGGGGAUAGAAGUGGUGGUUGUGGUCAGUGGUAAAGGGUCCCUGCAGGGAGGUGCUCCUGGUUUUCUACCUCGGUGAAGGAUCUUUGACACAGGCAACCUCCAUCCAGGCACCCAGUGGAAACGGACAGCUGACCAUAUAGCCCAGUGCCUUUUCUGACACACUUCUUCCUUGGGGAAGUUGAGGUUGGGGGCGGGCUGUGCACAGGGCUCCCCAGCCUCCCUGUGUGUCUGCUUCCUUCCCUGCCCUCCGCCCGGUGGCCCCAUGGCCCACAGCCCACAGGGAAGCAGGUUGGUGCCACCCCUGCCUCCCCUCCGCAGCCGGCGGGCCUGUAAAUGCCUCCCUUGGGCCCCCAUGAGGCCAGUGAGCCAGAAGCCCCUCUGACCCAGAGGUCACUGUGACCAGCACAUCCUGGAGAGGAGGCCUCGCCCUUGCACCUUUCAUCUGCAAGAGUUACUUUUACAUUUAUUUUAAAUGUUGAUUUAAGUAUAUACUUCAUCUACAGUUAUCCAUAUAAAUAGAUUCAUUACAGGGCCUGGCUCUGAAUAAACACAGUAAGUUGGA
rnacentral:lncRNA from 1 species